GAUGAACGCUGGCGGCGUGCCUAAUACAUGCAAGUCGAGCGAAUGGAUUAAGAGCUUGCUCUUAUGAAGUUAGCGGCGGACGGGUGAGUAACACGUGGGUAACCUGCCCAUAAGACUGGGAUAACUCCGGGAAACCGGGGCUAAUACCGGAUAACAUUUUGAACCGCAUGGUUCGAAAUUGAAAGGCGGCUUCGGCUGUCACUUAUGGAUGGACCCGCGUCGCAUUAGCUAGUUGGGGAGGUAACGGCUCACCAAGGCAACGAUGCGUAGCCGACCUGGGAGGGUGAUCGGCAACACGGGGACUGAGACACGGCCCAGUCUCCUACGGGAGGCAGCAGUAGGGAAUCUUCCGCAAUGGACGAAAGUCUGACGGAGCAACGCCGCGUGAGUGAUGAAGGCUUUCGGGUCGUAAAACUCUGUUGUUAGGGAAGAACAAGUGCUAGUUGAAUAAGCUGGCACCUUGACGGUACCUAACCAGAAAGCCACGGCUAACUACGUGCCAGCCGCCGCAGUAA
rnacentral:rRNA from 1 species